GGGAGAGAAAGGAAGUGGAGAACGUUCUUGCAAGAUGAUCUGUAUUUUCUCUCUAAAGCAGAGUUCAUUUGCUGAGAAUGAUGGAGAAAAUCAGCAUCUAGCUAAUCAGCUGACCAUGAGAUGCAGAGAUUAUCUGGAAUUAUCCAGAUUGGUCCAUUUAAUUACAUGAGUCCUUAAAAGUGGAAAGUGGAAGAAGAGGCAGAAGAGUGUGUCAGAGAGAUGCUGUGUGAAAAGGACUCAACCUGCCACUUGAGGCUUUGAGGCUGGAGAAAGGGGCCAUGAACCAAGGAUUGUGAGCAGCCUGUAAAAUCUGGAAAAGACAAGGCAAUACCCUUUGCUGUCUCAGGGUCAAACAUGCAACUCCUGCCUGCUUGUAUGGCCAGCUGGGUUCAAGAAGGAAGGAACCUCAUUGUUGACAGUUACCAGAUGAAUGUGCCCCUUCUGUACAGCUAAGAAAUGGAAUAGACAUUGGUAACCUUCCACAGGCCCACACAUGUGUUAUCAGCCAUACCUUAGGACAGAAGGAAUGAGUUUGCAGAAAGGAUGCUCUUCAGAACUCAUGAAGACAUAAGGUGCUUCAAAAGAGGAGACUUUCGGAACAUGAGCAGGGAAAUUGUCACUUGAUAGAUGACAAGCAUUGUGAGAAACAACAGUUUGCCUUUCUUCAUUCCCUUCCUGGUUAUCUUUCCUGUCACAUGAAGAAGAAAUGAAACACCAGAGAGAAUCAGGUUAUCAUCAUCUACACCAGCCACUGUCACUGGCCUUCAAAGUUCAACCUCCCUGGAACUCCAGAACUCCCCACUUUAUAAGAUGAAUGGCUAAUUGGAUCCUAGUACAUAAGGAAACACUGGCAAAAUAGCGACAACUCCAGGAAGGAAAUUGGUAGACUCAACGUCCAGGGAACCUACGAAUCUGCUAUCCCAAGCCUUCUGCCCCCAAACACUUCACCCUGAAAUACAGCCCAGAGCAUGCACUCAGUGAGUCCCACUGAAGAAGAGACGGAAGGCAGAACUGAACAAGAUGUGUCCAGAAGAGGUAGCCAUAGAUCAUGGACAUGACCAAAAGAAGCUUACUUUAUUUUCAACCCUACAACCAUACUGAGAAUUUAGCCCUGGGGACAUCUUCCGAUAUAAUCUGGCAUAGAAGAGUGGUUAUCACACCUUUAGCAUGGAUAGAAAUGCAAAACAAUAUUUGUAAUAGUCUGUGCUCACGCUGCUAUAAGGACAUACCCAAGACUAGGACCCUUGAGACACCUUUGCUGUGAAUAAUGGAGAAGCAAAAGGAGUUACUAAUGAAGACAAACUAAACCUGAGAACAGAGAGAGCCUAACUAUGUGCUCCAGAAGUGCCAUGUGUGUCUAAGGCUGUACAGGAAGCAUGGCACCAACAUCUGCCCAGCUCCUAGGGAGGCCUCGGGGAGCUUUUACUCAUGGUGGAGGGUGAAGCAGGAGCAAGUACAUCAUACGGCGAAAGCAAGAGCAAAUGAAGUUUCGCUCUUCUUGCCCAGGCUGGAGUGCAAUGGCACAAUCUCAGCUCACUGCAACCUCUGCCUCCUGGGUUCAAGCGAUUCUCCUGCCUCAGCCCCCUGAGUAGCUGGGAUUACAGGAAUUUUGGAAAUACAUCUGGUGCUUCCAGUGACUGUAUAAUAAUCAAUGUAUCCUGACUCUAAAGAAAAGCAGAAGUGAAACUGAAAGUACAGACUACAAGGUGGAAUAUGAUCCCUCUACUAUCAACUAAAAGUCUUAGACUUGCUACCCUUCUGAAAAUGGUUCUGAAGGGGCCCAGGAAGAAACCUCCUCUUCCCCAGCUGAGUUGAGAACCAAGUGGAAGACAAAGAAGUUAGACAGCAGAUGAAAAAGUGACCUGCCUUGCACCUUGCCAGUUGGCUUGCUAGCUCUCCCCUGAUUUGAACUUCUGACAACAGAACAUGCUCCACCAAACUUACCAUGUGAAGGACAGCACAUGGGCAUUCUUUCUGAGACCUGCAAAGAAAACAAAGGGAGAGGCUAAGCAGACAAAGGAAAACUCUUUCUUCUCAAAUCAAUCAGAUAAUGAACUCCUGUUCCCUUUAGGAGAAAUGAGUGGGUGGGGAGAGAAAAGCAAGCAGUUGACCUCUGGAGGUCCUUAGACUUAAAAACAUAAAGCCCAAGGAAGAAAAUUCCUCCCCAGCAUUAACUUGGACCAGUAAUGUUUUUCUAUUUAUAUUCCAUAUGUAAAUAUGCCUGUGAGGUAUUAUGUAUUGUCUUUGUGCCUUUAAGUGCAUUUCUUUAAAAAAUCUGUAACUUUAAACUUAAAUAGAAAGGCACAAAAUGGAUUGUUAUUUUAUACAAUGGAGUUCU
ensembl:lncRNA novel transcript